AAAAUUAUUUGUUUUAGUAUUUUAUAAAGAAAAAAUAAUAUUAAUAAUAGUUUAAUAGUAUUGUGAAAGAAAAUUGAAAUAAUUUGAAAAAUUUUUAUUAUAAAAGAAGAUUUUAUUUAUUGUACCUUGUGUAUCAGGGUUUAUCAAAAAAAGAUUAAUUAAAUUAAUUUUCUCGAUUUUAAAAGAGUUAAUAUAUUAUUUAAGUUAAUGUUACAAAAUUAUUUAUAAUAAUAUAUUAGAAAUGAAAUGUUAUUCGUUUUCAAAGGUAUCUAGUUCUUUAAGAAAUAAAUUAAAUUUAGGAAUUUUAUAUUAUUUAAUUAAAUUUAUUAAUUAAAUAAUUAUUUAGUUUUAAUAUUUUAUGGGAUAAGCUAUAAAAUAAAUUUUUAAAAAUUUAUAAAUAAAAUUAAUAAAUAUAAGUUUAGAAAUUGCUAUUAUUAAUAAAAGUGUUAUAAUUUAUUUUAUAAUAAUUAUUAUUUAUUUUAAUUUUAAAUAUUUAUUAAAGUAUUCAUUUUAAUUUUAUUAAUGAAAAAAUAAUGAUAAAAUUAGUAUAAAAUUUUGUAAAUAUAUUUAUAAUUGAUAAGUUUUUAUAAAGAACUUGGCAAAAAUAAUGUUCGCCUGUUUAACAAAAACAUGUCUUUUUGAUUAUAUAAAAAGUCUAACCUGCCCACUGAUUUUUUAAAUGGCCGCAGUAUUUUAACUGUGCAAAGGUAGCAUAAUCAUUAGUCUUUUAAUUGAAGGCUGGUAUGAAUGGUUGGACGAGAUAUUAACUGUUUCAUAAAAAUUUUUAUUAAAACUUUAUUUUUUAGUUAAAAAGCUAAAAUUUAUUUAAAAGACGAGAAGACCCUAUAAAUCUUUAUAUUUAAAUUAUUAAAAUUUUAUAGAUUUUUUUUAUUUUAAUAAUUAAUAAUAUUUUAUUGGGGUGAUAUUAAAAUUUAAUAAACUUUUAAUAUAAAUUAACAUUAAUUAAUGAAUAAUUGAUCCGUUAAUAACGAUUAAAAAAAUAAGUUACUUUAGGGAUAACAGCGUAAUUUUUUUGGAGAGUUCUUAUCGAUAAAAAAGAUUGCGACCUCGAUGUUGGAUUAAGAGAUAGGUUUAGGUGUAGUAGCUUAAAUUUUAAGUCUGUUCGACUUUUAAAUUCUUACAUGAUCUGAGUUCAAACCGGUGUAAGCCAGGUUGGUUUCUAUCUUUAAAAAAUUAAAAUAUUUCAGUACGAAAGGAUCUAAUAUUUGGUAAAUUUUUAUUUUUAUAAUGAAUAUAAAUAAUUUAAACUAUUUUGGCAGAUUAAUGC
rnacentral:rRNA from 1 species